rnacentral:rRNA from 1 species
UACAUGGGGUGCAAACGUUGCUCGGAAUCACUGGGCUUAAAGGGCGCGUAGGCGGGCGGUCAAGUCAGGGGUGAAAGCCCCCAGCUCAACUGGGGAAGUGCCUCUGAUACUGGUCGUCUCGAGGGAGGUAGGGCGUGCGGAACUUCCGGUGGAGCGGUGAAAUGCGUAGAUAUCGGAAGGAAUACCGGUGGCGAAGGCGGCAUCCUGGACCGACAUUGACGCUGAACGGCGAAAGCUAGGGGAGCAAACGGG